GGUGGUUCUCGGGUGAUGCACCCCAGAUCAGGCUCCCCUCCUCUCUGGUUCUGGGUGUGUCCUGAGAACCACA
rfam:Myotis davidii contig7176, whole genome shotgun sequence.